GACGAACGCUGGCGGCGUGCUUAACACAUGCAAGUCGAACGGCAAGGCCCUGCUUUUGUGGGGUUCUCGAGUGCCGAACGGGUGAGUAACACGUGUGUAUCCUGCCCUUCACUUUGGGAUAACUUCAGGAAACUGGGGCUAAUACCGGACAGCAGCCCCUGUACCAUGGUGGGGGGUGGAAAGUUGCGGCGGUAGGGGAUGGAUUCGCGGGUUAACAGUUUGUUGGUGGGGGAGUGGCUUACCAAGGCUUUGACUGGUAGCCCGCCUGAGUGGUUGACCGGCCACAAUAGGACUGAGAGACGGCGCAGAGUGCAACAGGAGACAGCAGGGGGGAACAUUACACAGUGGUCGGACGUCGGAUGCGGAGACGUCGGGGUCGUGAUGACGGCCUUCGGGGUGUAAACAGCAUUAGCCUGUGACGAAGCGGGAGUGACGGUAAUGGGUAAAGAAGCACCGGCUAACUACGUG
rnacentral:rRNA from 1 species